GACGAACGCUGGCGGCGUGCUUAACACAUGCAAGUCGAACGGAAAGGCCCUGCUUUUGUGGGGUGCUCGAGUGGCGAACGGGUGAGUAACACGUGAGUAACCUGCCCUUGACUUUGGGAUAACUUCAGGAAACUGGGGCUAAUACCGGAUAGGAGCUCCUGCUGCAUGGUGGGGGUUGGAAAGUUUCGGCGGUUUGGGAUGGACUCGCGGCUUAUCAGCUUGUUGGUGGGGUAGUGGCUUACCAAGGCUUUGACGGGUAGCCGGCCUGAGAGGGUGAACGGCCACAUUGGGACUGCGGUACGGCCCAGUCUCCUACGGGAGGCAGCAGUGGGGAAUAUUGCACAAUGGGCGGAAGCCUGAUGCAGCAACGCCGCGUGCGGGAUGACGGCCUUCGGGUUGUAAACCGCUUUCGCCUGUGACGAAGCGUGAGUGACGGUAAUGGAUAAAGAAGCACCGGCUAACUACGUG
rnacentral:rRNA from 1 species